rnacentral:rRNA from 1 species
CCUACGGGUGGCAGCAGUGAGGAAUAUUGGUCAAUGGCCGUAAGGCUGACCCAGCCAAGUCGCGUGAAGGAAGAAGGAUCUAUGGUUUGUAAACUUCUUUUAUAGGGGAAUAAAGGUAUCCACGUGUGGAUAUUUGCAUGUACCCUAUGAAUCAGCAUCGGCUAACUCCGUGCCAGCAGCCGCGGUAAUACGGAGGAUGCGAGCGUUAUCCGGAUUGAUUGGGCUUAAAGGGUGCGUAGGUUGUUUUUUAAGUCAGAUGUGAAAGUUUGUGGCUCAACCAUAAAAGUGCCGUUGAAACUGGAAGACUUGAGUGUGUUUGAGGUAGGCGGAAUGCGUGGUGGAGCGGUGAAAUGCAUAGAUAUCACGCAGAACUCCGAUUGCGAAGGCAGCUUACUAAGCCAUAACUGACACUGAGGCUCGAAAGUGUGGGUAUCAAACAGGAUUAGAUACCCCAGUAGUC